rnacentral:misc_RNA from 1 species
GGAUUGUUAGAUUUUUGGACUGCCUUUGGCUGCAGAUCAUCGUCAGAUGUUUCAUAAAGCCUAAGAAAGAGUAAUAGCAUAAUAUAGCAUCUCUCUCACUCUAUUUACUCCUUUUUAAAUUUGCAGGUGCUAGUUCAUUUUUGUGAUAAGGUUUAGUUGUUCAUUUUUGUAGUACUGAUGACGGCGCUAUCAUCAUCUGGAAUUAAG